rnacentral:rRNA from 1 species
GCAAGUCGAACGAGAAAGCAUCUUCGGAUGCGAGUAUAGUGGCGCACGGGUGAGUAACACUUAGGUAAUCUACCUUUUCGCUGGGGAUAACUGAAGGAAACUUCAGCUAAUACCGAAUAUUCCAUAAUUUUCUACGGAUUAAUAUGGGAAAGCAUUAGCGCGAAAAGAGGAGCCUGAGCCCCAUUAGCUUGUUGGUAGGGUAAAAGCCUACCAAGGCAACGAUGGGUAGCUGGUCUGAGAGGAUGUCC